UCCAUUUUCUUCUAACGAACCUACUCCUCCCCCUUUCUCUCAGGCGUUCUCCCUCUCUUGCACUUCUCGAUCUCUCUCCGCCUCUCUCACACUCAUCUCCGUCGAUUCCUCGUCUCUCUCACACUCGAUCUCUCCAUCUUUCUCUCUGUACGAGACGUCGACGGCGACACAAGGCGCUUGGCGACGACGACAGGCGCAAACGAGGGCGCUAGGUGGUGGUGAUCGCAGCGGGUUUGGGGGGCUCGACAUCAGUGGGUUCUUAAGCACAAAUCAAGGUUCUAACUCUUCUAGAGUGAUCAGUCCAAGCUGAGUGAACCUUAUAUGGCAGAUUCUAAGGAAAAGCCACAGGCUGAACAAGUCUGCAACUUUUUUCGGAAGCCAACAAAGAACAAAAACAUCAGAAAGCGAACGGUUACUGAAGAUGAUGAAGAAUCAAAUACAGAUAGCACAUUUUUGCAUAGUCAGAAAAAGGCCCCAAAACCGGACAAUAAACUUUAUUUUUCUUCUGGACCUUCUAAGAGCACUAUACCUGCGGAAUCAAAUGUCGCAUCAAAUGUAGCAUCUGACACUCCCGUCUUUCAGUUUGAGUCUUCGAAGGAAAUUCAAGUCCAACAUGACAGUAGAGCAACAGCAACACUAGAGACUGAAACUGAUUUUACUAGAGAUGCACGAGCUAUUCGUGAAAGGGUACUUAAGCAGGCAGAGGAGGCUUUGAAGGGAAAGAACAAGGGUGCUGGGGAUGAAAAGCUGUACAAAGGGGUAAACGCCUAUACUGAUUUUAAGGCUGGGUUUCGAAGGGAGCAGACUGUUGCCAGCGAGAAAGCUGGAGGGUCACAUGGGCCACUCAGGGCUUCUGCUCACAUUAGAGCUACAACAAGAUUUGAUUAUCAGCCAGAUAUCUGCAAAGAUUAUAAAGAAACUGGUUAUUGUGGAUAUGGAGAUUCAUGCAAGUUUAUGCAUGAUCGUGGGGAUUACAAGUCUGGAUGGCAGAUGGAGAAGGAGUGGGAUGACGCAGAGAAAAUAAGGAAGAGAAAUUUAGCAUUAGGAGAAGCAGGUGAUGCGGAUGAUGGCGACGAGAGCGAUGAAGACAAUGAUGAAAAUGCAUUGCCCUUUGCUUGUUUCAUUUGUAGACAGCCUUUUGUUGAUCCCGUUGUAACAAAAUGCAAGCAUUACUUCUGUGAGCAUUGCGCAUUGAGGCAUCAUACGAAGAACAAGAAGUGCUUCGUCUGCAACACGCCUACACUUGGCAUAUUUAAUACGGCUCAUGAGAUACGCAAAAGGAUGGCUGAAGAGGGCAAAUAAUGGCUGCUCAACAGCAGAGCAACGGCAACAUGGCUUCACCACUUCAUUGGCCCCCACCACCACCACCGCCUCCGCUGCUCGUUGCCGUUGUCGUUCCCGCUCAAUUGUUGCUGUCUGUACAGAUAACCAGACCAUUCCUCCCUUCACCAUCGACUACUCUACCAUCUGUGUCGCGGAGGCCUUCGCUGAGGACCAGCUCUGGGCCACUGCUUGUCUCCGUGUUCGCUCCUUCUAUGAUUUCCAGCCAAACUCAUUUCGUAUCGAAAUUUUGAGGUGCCUUGAAGAUGAUUAUGGGAUUCUUGGUUGUACCAGCGAGGCAUUUUCUGAUAAUGGAAAGAGAUUGUGAUAUGCUGAUGGUAUGUUUUCCUUGUAAAGUGUCAUUAGGAUCACAAAGAGCACUUGGCAGAGCGUGAGUUUGAAGCACUAAAAGAACGAAUCGCUGGAAAGAGGGAGGACUUUAAAAGAGUGUCUUGCAUAAAUGCUACUGUUCCACUAUCACAGAUAUCAAGCCUUUCUGAGGAUUUUUGUUCUGCAUGCAAGGUUUGUUGGCUUUCUUUCUUUGGCCAGACCUAAUACUGUAAAGCAGAAGGAACAAAGUACAUAGUAAGAUUGUUGGCUUAUAGUAUAUACUUCAUAAAGUGGUGCGGACUAAUCUUAUAUUCUGUUAGCUGUUUCGGGUCUAUGUUUCUGUAAACUUCUGGACUACUUUUUUCUUCUCAAUACUGGUUUUCCAUCAUUACAGGCAUUAAGGAUUUGAUAUCA